AGAGUUUGAUCAUGGCUCAGGACGAACGCUGGCGGCGUGCUUAACACAUGCAAGUCGAGCGGAAAGGCCCUUCGGGGUACUCGAGCGGCGAACGGGUGAGUAACACGUGAGUAAUCUGCCCCUAGCUCUGGGAUAGCUCCGGGAAACCGGGAUUAAUACCGGAUAUGACCACUACGGACAUCUGUUUUGGUGGAAAGAAUUUCGGCUAGGGAUGAGCUCGCGGCCUAUCAGCUUGUUGGUGGGGUAACGGCCUACCAAGGCGACGACGGGUAGCCGGCCUGAGAGGGCGACCGGCCACACUGGGACUGAGACACGGCCCAGACUCCUACGGGAGGCAGCAGUGGGGAAUAUUGCGCAAUGGGCGAAAGCCUGACGCAGCGACGCCGCGUGGGGGAUGAAGGCCUUCGGGUUGUAAACCCCUUUCAGCAGGGACGAAGCGAGAGUGACGGUACCUGCAGAAGAAGCGCCGGCUAACUACGUGCCAGCAGCCGCGGUAACACGUAGGGCGCAAGCGUUGUCCGGAAUUAUUGGGCGUAAAGAGCUCGUAGGCGGUCUGUUGCGUCCGCUGUGAAAACUCGGGGCUUAACCCCGAGCCUGCAGUGGAUACGGGCAGACUAGAGGUAGGUAGGGGAGAAUGGAAUUCCCGGUGUAGCGGUGAAAUGCGCAGAUAUCGGGAGGAACACCGGUGGCGAAGGCGGUUCUCUGGGCCUUACCUGACGCUGAGGAGCGAAAGCGUGGGGAGCGAACAGGAUUAGAUACCCUAGUAGUCC
rnacentral:rRNA from 1 species